rnacentral:ncRNA from 2 species
AAGAAUAAGCCCGAUAUGCCUCAUAUAUGUCUGAUAAUCGGUUCGGAUGUUUCUACCAAGUCACCGUAAAUGACUUGACUAUGAAGGCGGAAUCAGCUCAGU